CGGCAACAGCCCAAAACUCAAAGGACUUGGCGGUGCUUUAUACCCUUCUAGAGGAGCCUGUUCUAUAAUCGAUAAACCCCGAUAAACCCUACCAGUCCUUGCUAAUACAGUCUAUAUACCGCCAUCUUCAGCAAACCCUGAAAAGGAGCAAAAGUAAGCACAAUCAUAAGACAUAAAAACGUUAGGUCAAGGUGUAACCUAUGGAUUGGAAAGAAAUGGGCUACAUUUUCUAUCUCAAGAA
rnacentral:rRNA from 1 species